rnacentral:rRNA from 1 species
GACGAACGCUGGCGGCGUGCCUAAUACAGGCAAGUAGAACGCAGUUGCGAACGGGUGAGUAACGCGUAGGUAAACGCCGCAUAGCGGGGGAUAACUAUUGGAAACGAUAGCUAAUACCGCAUACUGUGAGAUGGACCUGCGUUGGAGUAGUUAGUUGGUGAGGUAAAGGCUCACCAAGGCGACGAUAAGUAGCCGCACUGAGAGGGUGAUCGGCCACACUGUGACUGAGACAGUUCCCGGACUCCUACGGGAGGCAGCAGUAGGGAAUCGUCGGCAAUGGACGGACGUCUGACCGAGCAACGCCGCGUGAGUUAGGAAGGUUUUCGGAUCGUAAAGCUCUGUUGUUAGAGAAGCUAUAACUAACCAGAAAGGGACGGCUAACUACGUGCCCGCAGCCGCGGUAAUUC